GGCUGCUGUGAGGACAAGGAAGAGUCAGUGCCCAGAGGAGCUGCCUACAAGAAACAUCAAGGAGAGUCAUCAAAUACUGGAACAAAACUGGCUGCCCAAAGACGCUUUGAAGUCUCUAUUCUUGGAGACAUUGAAAUCCUGAUUGAAUAUGGUUGCAGAUAACCUGCUCUACCUGACCCUGCUUUGAACAGAGGCUGGGACUAGAUGAACUGCAGAGGUCUCUUCCAGCCUCAACAAUUUUGUGCCUCAGUGAAUUGCCCUUCUUGCCUCCAGGGAAACAGAGAUGCCUUAUGCCUUCAGUGCUGCAGAAUUGUCCUUGCAGUUAUGCCAACAUGGUAGAGUUUGCCACAUCAGCAGAAGUUAUCUGAUAGUGAUUAGCGGUUUAAAAGAGGCUGCAGAACUCGGGAAUAUCCACUGUUAUACUCUGCAAGUCUUCUUACAGCCAAAAUCUGGCUCCUGUUUGAGAAGGUGAAGUGCAUUUCAUUCCAGGUAUCAAACCUGGGGAACUUGGUUAAAACUGACUUUUGAGGUAUUCGUUUUACAAAAUUCUGCAUCCAGCAUAAUUACGAAGAUUUAUAUGUGUUAAGAACAUUACAGCCUAUUUGAGAUUGGACUCUGUGUCUUUAGUGGUAAAAUGGCAUUGAAUUUUAGAUUACUUGUGAUUAAAUAAAUGAUUGUGCAGUAUGUGUAGGUGGGACACCAUAAAAAGAAUUUUUUUUUAUAUAUUUAUACACCUACCUACAGAUAGACGUAGAUUUAGAUAGAUGGAUAUAGGUAGGCAUAC